AGUGAACGCUGGCGGUAGGCCUAACACAUGCAAGUCGAACGGCAGCACAGUAAGAGCUUGCUCUUACGGGUGGCGAGUGGCGGACGGGUGAGGAAUACAUCGGAAUCUACUUUUUCGUGGGGGAUAACGUAGGGAAACUUACGCUAAUACCGCAUACGACCUACGGGUGAAAGCAGGGGAUCUUCGGACCUUGCGCGAUUGAAUGAGCCGAUGUCGGAUUAGCUAGUUGGCGGGGUAAAGGCCCACCAAGGCGACGAUCCGUAGCUGGUCUGAGAGGAUGAACAGCCACACUGGAACUGAGAAAAGGUCCAGACUCCUACGGGAGGCAGCAGUGGGGAAUAUUGGACAAUGGGGGCAAGCCUGAUCCAGCCAUACCGCGUGGGUGAAGAAGGCCUUCGGGUUGUAAAACCCUUUUGUUGGGAAAGAAAAGCAGCAGGUUAAUACCCCGCUGUUCUGACGGUACCCAAAGAAUAAGCACCGGCUAACUUCGUG
rnacentral:rRNA from 1 species